UAUGAGGCCGCGGCAGCCAGGAGCACACACAAGGUCCCCAGUAUGAUUUCAGUUACGGUUUUCCAACGCACGGGAAAAAAUAACACCCCAUAAAAUGUUCACUUCCAUCUCGGAAGAGGAAGAUGAUGGCCAGUGGUUGGUUCCAGGAGCCAAACGCCUCCACUUCUUUGCCAGGCAGAUGUCUUCUGCACCAUCUCCCGCCGGCUGUCUCUCGGUUUCCGGGCUGUCCGGAGGCUCUGAAGUCUGUCCGGUGUGGCGGCCAUGCACGCGUUCAGCAAACGGUCACCAGGCCUCGGGAGUCCGCGCCUCCUGACACCCACCACUGCGGGCGUCCCCACGUCCCUGCCAAGCCUCGGCCUCUGUCAACCCCUCUGGUACUCGGCACUUAGCUUCUCCGCUUGGGAAAAUGCAGUGCGGAGAGCGGCUCCCAAAAAGGACCACUUUAAGAAGAGAUUGUCCCAACUUUGAUCACCUUCUGGUGCACAGGCUAUAUUUGAGCCUUGAGGAUUUUCACUACAAACAAAAUUCCAGAAGAAAGAUUCAAAACCUGUAUCCGUGACUCAGAUGUUUAAUAAGCAUUGUGAUCUCAGUCAGAUUUUAUAACAAUAUUUUUAGCUCAGGCCAGCGAACUCCAUAAAGCAGACCAUGAACACUCCCCAGAAGGAGAGACUAGCUGUACCCACCCCUGAGGUAGAUGUUCCCCAACUGAAAUGCCUGUAGCCAUGAAACUGCAGCCUUCCUUCCAUUUAAUAUUGAACAGUGAUGCACAAAUCCCUUCAGACCUGGGGUAGAGAGAAGGAAAACAUAUAAACAACUCUAGGCCAACCUAAGGGAUAGUUUAGAGUUAUUUUGCCAGCAAGAGAUUGUUAUUGAAAAUAAUCAUAGUUUGUGGCAUUUUCACCUGCUGUGAUUCUCCCCAAGAGCAGCCUGCUCCAUGAGCUGAAGGAUGGCAGAUUUUCUUGGCCUAGCCCACAUCUGUCCAUCCACCACUUGGUUAUUCUUCACGACAGCCCCUGAGACAGGCGGCAGAUCUUCCCUGUUCCCGUCCUAACCCAGCGCCCGGACCUUUGCCCUCAUCUCUUCUGACCCAGGCACUGAAGUCUUCUAGCAUUCGCCAGUUCAGGGGCAUGGUCCCAUGGGACCUUUUGGUCUUGGAGGUGCCACAAGAGUUAAGUCACCUCUGUAUUGCUGCUUCCCAGAUAACUCAGAGAUUAACACUGGGCUCAAGCAUAUUUAUUUCAAAAUAUAAUAUUUCAGGAAAUGUAUCUCAGUAUAUAAACUGUGGGUCAAACCCCAUGAGCCAUUGCAGAGACUCCAGAGAACACGGCCCCUCCACUCCCCUUCUCUUUAAAUCUAGCCCUUCAACCAUCAGGCUACUUUUAAUCUGUAUUUCAAGAUAAAAUUAUCCUGGACUUAGAGUCAGCUCUGAAUCCAAUGACUGGGCCCCUUAUAAGAAGAGGAGAGGACACACAGAGUCACAGAGGCAAACAGGUCACAUGAAGACAGGGGCAAAGACUGAAGCAGACGCUGCCACAAGCCCAGGAAGCCCUGGAGCCACCAGGAGCUGGAAGAGGCAAGGAAGCAUUCUCCCCUAGAGAUUCAGAGAGCUCAUGGUCCUGCCGACACCUGGAUUUCAGACUUCUUGAUUUCAGGUUUUAGCCUUUGGGAAGUGUGGGAGAAUAAAGUCCAGUUGUUUUAAAGUA